GCCUGGGAACCUUCGUAUGCUGUGGGUGUGGCCCUAAAGAGACACACACACACACACAAAAGCCUCCACUUGGUUUUAAUGCUCCUGUCGCCCCAAGAUGCUCUCUCACCAGCUACCACGCUUUCCCCACCAGUCACACGUGCCUCCCCUGAGGGGCAUUCCUGCCCCGCGGCUCCCCUGCUCAGCCCUGCCAUGUUUUGUUCUACCUCCUCAGGCUGGCAUUCCUUCUCUCCACGGUUCGCUUGUCCAAACCCUCAUCAGUGCUCACGGUGAACUGGAGUGCCCAGAGGAAGGAGUCGAUUAGAAACAGAAAACCACAGAUGCCACCCAUAAUCUCUGGCCUGACCGUCUGAAGCCUUCCCUGAGGACCCAGGGUCCAGGCAGGGGGUGGAGGCACCGCAGAGGGCUGAGGGCGGCCAGUGUGAGGUCAGGGCGGCACAAACCUAGUGUCACAGGAAUGAGCUCACGCUAAUUAUCCCGUAAUUAUGGGCCCUGCUGAUCCCAGGCUCUCACCUCCUGCUCCCACCCACUCCCCGAGGAAACGGGUCCUCCGGUCUCCAAGUUCCUUUGAGGAUGGUCAUGUGCCCUGAGGGCUGCCCACAGACCCCCUCCUUCCUCGCUGGGAGAAACCAGGGCUCCCAGGCCCUCCUACAGCGUCUCCUCUGAUGUCCCUGGCCCCCACCAAGUGCAGGAGCGGAGCACGAGAAAGAAAGACACAGAGCAGUUGCUUUUACAAUAAAUGCUCUAUUAUGUUCACUUGGGAGAA